rnacentral:rRNA from 2 species
GACUGAGACACGGCCCAAACUCCUACGGGAGGCAGCAGUAGGGAAUCUUCCACAAUGGACGAAAGUCUGAUGGAGCAAUGCCGCGUGAGUGAAGAAGGGUUUCGGCUCGUAAAACUCUGUUGUUAAAGAAGAACACCUUUGAGAGUAACUGUUCAAGGGUUGACGGUAUUUAACCAGAAAGCCACGGCUAACUACGUGCCAGCAGCCGCGGUAAUACGUAGGUGGCAAGCGUUGUCCGGAUUUAUUGGGCGUAAAGCGAGCGCAGGCGGUUUUUUAAGUCUGAUGUGAAAGCCUUCGGCUUAACCGGAGAAGUGCAUCGGAAACUGGGAGACUUGAGUGCAGAAGAGGACAGUGGAACUCCAUGUGUAGCGGUGGAAUGCGUAGAUAUAUGGAAGAACACCAGUGGCGAAGGCGGCUGUC